CCCACUUCCGGCAAGCGAGCACCGUAGCUUUCCGGCUUCCCAGGGCUGUGCGGGUAAUCUGUGGAGUGAGGUAUCAAACUCCGGUCAGAAGGUUUGGUGGCAAAUGUGCACUGUCCCAUCCUGUCCUGCCACGUUCCCCCGCAACCCCCAGACAAGGAUGUUCAGAGAAACAACAGCCUUGGCCUGUCAUGCUCCAGAAGGACAAAAUAGGCUCAACUCUGUGAAAGUUGAAGAAGAAAAUGGUAUUUGGAAGCAGGACUUCAGUCUUCAGGGAAACCUCCAGAGCCAGGAGGUUUUCCGUCAGCAGUUCAGACAGUUUGGCUACUCUGAUUUCACUGGGCCCCGGGAGGCUCUGAACCAACUGCAGAAGCUUUGCCAGCAGUGGCUGAAGCCAGAGGAGCACUCCAAGGAGCAGAUCUUAGAGCUGCUGGUGCUGGAGCAGUUCAUGACCAUCCUGCCUAUGGAGCUGAAGGCCUGGGUGCAAGAACACAGGCCCAGAAAUGGAGAGGAGGCUGUGACUCUGCUGGAGGAGCUAGAGAGAGAAUUUGAUGAACCCAAGCAACAGGUAAGAUGGUUUUUCUCUUAUCUGCCCUUAGUCACACUACUGGUACUUGUUACUCUAGGACACAGCUCAUGGUCAAGAAAUGAUCUGCGAAGAAAUGACAUUCAUGGGAAUGUCAGAGUCUCUGAGUAGUCCACUGCAGUCCUUGGAGAACCAUUGCAAGAGUGAACCCCAGGAGCCCCAGAUUUUCCAUGAGAGAGAUGAGGCAACCCUACCAUUUAGGGUUGAGGAUGAAGAUAGCAAGAUGGCGAGUGGGAAAGUAUUGACAGCAAAGCAAGAAACUGAUGAAUGUGUUGCAUCAGUGGCCAUGGCAUCUCCAGGAAGACUUCCUAGGGAAACUUCUCCAGCACAGAUAGUUGAAGAAACUAUGGGA